GCUCGCUUGGCAUAGCGGUUAUGCACCUCACUCGAAUCUCAGAAAUAUAUGGGAAUAGCGGAUGAGGGAACGACUGGUUCGACUCCAGUAGCGGGCA
rnacentral:tRNA from 1 species